UACGGAGGAUGCAAGCGUUAUCCGGAUUUAUUGGGUUUAAAGGGUGCGUAGGCGGAUAUGUAAGUCAGCGGUGAAACUCACAGGCUCAACCUGUGCCGUGCCGUUGAAACUGUGUAUCUGGAAUGCGGAUGCUGUGGGAGGAAUGUGUAGUGUAGCGGUGAAAUGCAUAGAUAUUACACAGAACACCGAUUGCGAAGGCAUCUCACAAAGCCGUUAUUGACGCUGAGGCACGAAGGUGUGGGGAGUCAAA
rnacentral:rRNA from 1 species